rnacentral:rRNA from 1 species
ACUACCCUCGAGUGGGGGAAUAACUUCGGGAAACCGAGGCUAAUACCGCAUAAUACCCACGGGUCAAAGGAGCAAUUCGCUUGAGGAGGAGGUCGCGGCCGAUUAGUUAGUUGGCGGGGUAAUGGCCCACCAAGACAGUGAUCGGUAUCCGGCCUGAGAGGGCGCACGGACACACUGGAACUGAAACACGGUCCAGACUCCUACGGGAGGCAGCAGUGGGGAAUUUUGCGCAAUGGGGGAAACCCUGACGCAGCAACGCCGCGUGGAGGAUGAAGUCUCUUGGGACGUAAACUCCUUUCGAUCGGGACGAUUAUGACGGUACCGGAAGAAGAAGCCCCGGCUAACUUCGUG